rnacentral:lncRNA from 1 species
UUUUAUAUGUAUUUAAUUAAAAUUUUCAAUGUAAUAUGGUAUCACAAAAACAUCUCAGAUUGUAUAUAUUAUACAUUAUUAUAUUUCAAAGGAUAUCAAAAAAUUUUAAAACGUUCUGACAUAAAAUUCUAUUCUCCAGCAUUGUUUUAUUUUAAGACACAAACUGUAGACACCCAGAAUUCAGAUCAGAUGCAAAGUGUCAUUCCCCUACCUCAUCGAAAAUUAUGAAAGUGAUUUGAAUGGAGUGACACCUUAAAAAGAAAAUGAACGAUAAAAAUAUCUUACUCCCUGGCCCAGAGAAUCUUGUUCUCCAGAACAUAAAGAAAGAAUAAUAAAUGAUAGAAAAUAUAUGAUCAAACAAAGAGUUGCAUUACACGCAGAUGUUGCAAAAGACAUUAAAAAGAAAGAAAAAAGGAGAAAACAUAAGAUGUCAUCUUUCCCUGGGAAAAAGGUGAAAGAAAAAG